GAUGAACGCUGGCGGCGUGCCUAAUACAUGCAAGUCGAGCGAACGGACGAGAAGCUUGCUUCUCUGAUGUUAGCGGCGGACGGGUGAGUAACACGUGGAUAACCUACCUAUAAGACUGGGAUAACUUCGGGAAACCGGAGCUAAUGCCGGAUAAUAUUUUGAACCGCAUGGUUCAAAAGUGAAAGACGGUCUUGCUGUCACUUAUAGAUGGAUCCGCGCUGCAUUAGCUAGUUGGUAAGGUAACGGCUUACCAAGGCAACGAUGCAUAGCCGACCUGAGAGGGUGAUCGGCCACACUGGAACUGAGACACGGUCCAGACUCCUACGGGAGGCAGCAGUAGGGAAUCUUCCGCAAUGGGCGAAAGCCUGACGGAGCAACGCCGCGUGAGUGAUGAAGGUCUUCGGAUCGUAAAACUCUGUUAUUAGGGAAGAACAUAUGUGUAAGUAACUGUGCACAUCUUGACGGCACCUAAUCAGAAAGCCACGGCUAACUACGUG
rnacentral:rRNA from 1 species